UACGGAGGGUGCAAGCGUUAUCCGGAUUCACUGGGUUUAAAGGGUGCGUAGGUGGGCAGGUAAGUCAGUGGUGAAAUCUCUAAGCUUAACUUAGAAACUGCCGUUGAUACUAUCUGUCUUGAAUAUAGUGGAGGUGAGCGGAAUAUGUCAUGUAGCGGUGAAAUGCUUAGAUAUGACAUAGAACACCCAUUACGAAGGCAGCUCGCUACGCUAUUAUUGACACUGAUGCACGAAAGCGUGGGGAUCAAACAGG
rnacentral:rRNA from 1 species